AGAGUUUGAUCAUGGCUCAGGACGAACGCUGGCGGCGUGCCUAACACAUGCAAAGUCGUACGAGAAAACACAUCCUUCGGGGUGUGGAGUAAAGUGGCGCACGGGUGAGUAACACGGGGGUAACCUGCCUGGUGGAUCGGGAUAACUGGCCGAAAGGCCCGCUAAUACCGGAUAAGACCACAUGAGCUUCGGCUCAAGGGGUCAAAGUCGGCCUAUCGACGAAGCCGGCACCACUGGAUGGGGCCCGCGGACCAUUAGCUAGUUGGUAGGGUAAUGGCCUACCAAGGCUGAGAUGGUUAGCUGGUCUGAGAGGAUGGCCAGCCACACUGGAACUGAGACACGGUCCAGACUCCUACGGGAGGCAGCAGUGAGGAAUAUUGCGCAAUGGACGAAAGUCUGACGCAGCAACGCCGCGUGGGUGAUGAAGCAUCUUGGUGUGUAAAACCCUGUCAGUGGGGAUGAAACGUACGUGUAGUAACUGCCACGUACCUGACGGUACCCACAGAGGAAGUCCGGCUAACUCCGUGCCAGCAGCCGCGGUAAUA
rnacentral:rRNA from 1 species